UACGAAGGGGGCUAGCGUUGCUCGGAAUCACUGGGCGUAAAGCGCACGUAGGCGGAUUGCUAAGUCAGGGGUGAAAUCCUGGAGCUCAACUCCAGAACUGCCUUUGAUACUGGGAGUCUCGAGUCCGGGAGAGGUGAGUGGAACUGCGAGUGUAGAGGUGAAAUUCGUAGAUAUUCGCAAGAACACCAGUGGCGAAGGCGGCUCACUGGCCCGGUACUGACGCUGAGGUGCGAAAAGCGUGGGGAGCAAACAGG
rnacentral:rRNA from 1 species